AUAUUUUCCAAUUCCACCCAUUUACCUGCAAAUGCCAUAAUUUUAUUCUCUUUUAUUGCUGAGUAAUAUUCCAUUAUGUAUAUAUACCACAUUUUCUUUAUUCAUUCAUCUACUGAAGGGCAUCUAGGUUGGUUCCACAGUUUAGCCUUUGUGAAUUGUGCUGCUAUAAACACAUUGAUAUGGCUGUGUCCCUAUACUAUGCUGUUUUUAAGUCCUUUGGGUAUAGACUGAGGAGUGGGAUAGCUGGGUCAAAUGGUGGUUCCAUUCCAAGCUUUCCAAGGAAUCUCCAUACUGUUUUCCAUAUUGGCUGCACCAAUUUGUAGUCCCACCAGCAAUGUAUGAGUGUGCCUUUCCCCCUACAUCCUCACCAACACUUAUUGUUGUUUGUGUUCCUAAUAGCUGUCAUUCUGACUGGAGUGAGAUGAAAUCUUAGUUUUCAUUUGCAUUUCUCUAAUUUCUAGAGAUGUUGAACAUUUUUUCAUAUAUUUGUUGAUUGAUUGCAUAUCAUCUUCUGAGAGGUGUCUUUUCAGUUCCUUAGCCCAUUUAUUGAUUGGGCUAUUUGUUUGUUUGUUUGUUUUUUUGGUGUUUAGCUUUUUGGGUUCUUUAUAUACCCUAGAGAUUCAUGCUCUGUCUGUUGUGCAAGUGGUAAAAAUUUGCUCCCAAAUUGUAGACUCUCUAUUCACUUCACUAAUUAUUUCUUUUGCUGAAAAGAAGCUUUUCAGUUUGAAUUCACCCCAUUUAUUGAUGCUUGAUUUUAAUUCUUGUGCUAUAGAAGUCUUAUUAAGAAAGUUGAGGCCUAAUCCGACAUGAUGAAGAUUUGGCCUUCUUUUUCUUUUAAUAGAUUCAGUGUCUCUGGUUUAAUUCUUAGGUCUUAGAUCCACUUUGAGUUGAGUUUUGUUCAUGGAAAGAGAUAGAAGUUUAAUUUCAUUUUGCUACAUAUGGAUUUUCAGUUUUCCCAGCACCAUUUGUUGGAGAGGCUGUCUUUUAUCUAAUGUAUGUUUUUGGUGUCUUUGUCUAAUAUAAGUGUUAUUAUGUGGGUUAGUCUCUGUGUCCUCUAUUCUGUACCAUUGGUCUACCAGUCUGUUUUGGUGACAAUACCACGUUGUUUUUGUUACUGUUGCUCUGUAGUAUUGUCUAAAGUCUGAUGUAGGGGUGCCACUUUUCUUGCUAAGGAUUGCUUUAGCUAUUCUGGGUCUCUUAUUUUUCCAGAUGAAUUUCAUGACUGCUUAUUCUAUUUCUAUGACAAAUGCCAUUGGGAUUUUGAUUGGAAUUGCAUUAAAUCUGUAUAAUGCUUUUGGUAGUAUGAUCAUUUUGACAGUAUUAAUUCUGCCUAUCCAAGCACAAGGGAAAUCUUUCCAUCUUCUAAGGUCUUCUUUAAUUUCUUUCCUUAGUGUUAUGCAG
rnacentral:lncRNA from 1 species